AUGCUCUCUUUGGCAGUACAUAAACUAAACAUUGGAAUGAUGCAGAGAAGAUUGGCAUGACCCCUGCCCAAGGAUGACACGCAAAUUUGUGAAGCGUUCCAUAUUUUU
rnacentral:snRNA from 1 species